rnacentral:misc_RNA from 1 species
CACAAUUAAAAAAAAAUACAGCAAAAGAGAGAAAGCCCUUAAAAUGACAACAACGAAAAGUAAUCCAUGAUGAAUGGAGUUAAGAAGAACAACACAAUCACUCCAUUAAUUGAGAAGCUGAAUUGAGUGCCAUGAAUCCAUGAUUCCUGGGAUGGAAUUUAAAAGGAUCAGAACAAGAUGAAGACCAUAUGAGCAAGAAAGAGAGCAGCAAAAGUGGGACUUUUUCCAAAAUACCAAGAGAACAGAACAGAACUAGCUACACCAACAUGAACAGUGGAACAGCAAGAGACACAAACUAGCGCCAACACCAAAAGCCACACUGAAUGCGAUGACAAUAAACCCUAAUAACACAUCUGCCUUGUCCGCGAAAUUGUUAAAAAG